UGUUUGUUUAGUCACGAGGAAUACAAAGGAAAACUUGGAAAGUAUCUGACAGCUACAGAACACGUCAAUGACAGAAAAUAAGGAAAGUAGCUCAAACUGGAUUCCUAAAUUUGUGUUUGGUUCUCCCAAUGAGAUAUAGAAACACUUUCUUAAAACCCCUACCACGUCAUACUUUUAGGAGUACCUAAUUCUGAGCUACUUGAGCAUAACUGGGCUGUAAAGGACUAAAAAGUUGAGUUUUAAUAUUAAAGUAUUAGAGAAAGAGGCUAGUGGGUUUUCUGGUGGGAAGUUUUGGAAAUCGAUAAAACAUCUCUCUCAUUAUAUCCCCCCCCAAUAUUCCGCCUCCAUUGGAGAUCUCUCUGUGUUCCAAACCCUAUAUCAAAUCCCCUAAAAAUUGAACCAAAAAAAAGGAAAUUUUGUGGGUUUUCAUCAGAAACCCUAAAGUUAUGUUGAUCUGCUAUCCGUUUCUUCUAUUAUACAAAAAAUCCAGCCAUACAGUUGGUGUAUUUCAACUUUUUUGGUUUGCUUGUGUUUGAUCUGCCUUCUCUCUCACACUUGAAUCGUUCAAUCGACCCCAUUUGAAAGCUUUAAUCAUGUCUUCACCAAUGAUAUCCCAAGCACUUUUGAAGAAGGAUGCACUAUAACCAUCAGGUCCAGGGGCUUUUUCACCAGGAAUUGCAAAUACAGCUUGUUUAAUCUCUUCUUUGGUGAUAGGAGAUCCUAGAGUACUUCUAUGGGAGUCUGUGAGAAUAGGGCCAUCAGAGAUAAUUGCAGGAUCUGGCUCUGUUGUGUUCACUGCGUUGCCCAGCAUCUUCUUAUAGUACUCCACAAGUUCAGCUACAUUUCUGGCAUAUCUAUGGAUAAUGUGGAGGAAGAAAUGGUUGAGGAUAAUUUCUGGGGGUGCAAUGACUGUCAUGAUAGCUAUUAUUCCCAUGGUCCUGACGAUGUAAUCUUGACACACACACACACAACAGAAACACUAGUCCAACUCAACUUCAAACUAUUCAUGUUAGCAAAUAAAUAAGAUGGGUAGAUUCAACUAGCAUCGAGCACAAGCAUUCAGAGUUAACUAGACCACACCCUUCAGAAGUCCGUUAGUACAAAAAGACCCAAGUUUCUCACUGCACCUGCAUCCUAAUUGCUAUUCAAGAUUGCAAUUUUUAUAAAUUAACAGCAUCUAGGUUCAUAUAAAAACAGUGUUUCCCGAAAAAAAAGGUCGAACACAAGUUUCCAACAAUUCCAAUCUUGCAUACUUAAAUAAGUUAUGCUAUGGCAAGACAAUGUGCACCUAUAACGGCUCAUUAUGUCGUGCAUUACUAUGUAGCCUAAUGAUAUUCCAACAUGCAUUUCAUAUGAGCACAAUCACAACCCUCGAACAGCCACUGCGGCAAAAGUCCAAUAAUCUUGCAACUGAAAAUCUAUCACGAAAAGCAGAAUUAUUAAUUUCAGAGAAAAGAACAAUUAAAAAUGAAAAAAAAAACUCAAUUAAGACAAAGAUACCAGUCCCUGCAUGUCUCCAUAAUUUCAUUUAUCAUUUUUGCCACCAAUAAACAUCCAUUUUGAGCAUGUGUUGUGCAUGGUGUGAGAGACGGUGCCAAAACACUGUUAAUUUAUUGAAUCAAAAAAUAGCGAUAAAAAAGUAAUUAUAUAAGAGGUGAUCCCAUCAUGUUCUUGCAUGUAAAGAUACUUUUGAGUAGUGAGUACAUAACUGAAUAAGCAAACUAUUUCAUGGAAAGAAUAUGUGGACGUAAACAUCAAGAUCUCAACAAAGUAUUGAACCCUUCAAUGGAGGGUGCGAGUGUUGUUUCCCUAUUGCUACGAGAGGGUUAUUAUACAUAGAGAACACUGUAUACACACAAACACGAACGCAUGCACGCGCAUAGGAAAAAGUAUUCCUAAUGUGACACCUUAUAUCCAAUCAAAGGAAACACGUCUCUUGAUCCUAGGAUUAGACUAUUCCAAUAAAUAAUCAGCUCCAUUCAUUAUGAUUUAAAUGUUUAAAACAUCUACAAAAUAAAAAUCAUGAUGCGUAACACAUAUUUUUCAGCGUCUCGGUAGUUAUAUUAUCAUAACACCAUUAUUUUAAAACCACUUAAUGCAUUAUGCCUUUUUUUUUUUUUGCAUACAAUCUAAGGCAUAUAAAUCAAAAUGAAUUGAAUCGAGUAAACUGACUGCACAUAAUAAAGUUU